GGAGGGAGGGAAGGAGAAGGAAGGAAGGAAGGAAGGAAGGAAGGAAGGAAGGAAGGAAGGAAGGAAGGGGAAGGGAGGGAGGAAGGAAAGAAAGGAGGGCAACUCUACACUCUCAUACACUUGUUCAAGGACACCAGGAUUCCUCUCUAUCGUCUGCAAAAUAGUACUUAAGGGACUUUAAUUCCCCGACUUCCGGCCCUCUGGACAUAAUGGUUUAAAAUUCCUGGCAAUUGAAUCUGGACCCACACUUUCUUUUUCCUCCUCAUCCUGUGUCAUCGCUCUCCUUGCUGUCAGCACCCUGGCAGGCAUCUGGCAACACAGCUGGAACCAGAGUAUGCCCGGGUGCCACACUAACUGCCUCGCCUGGCUGAUCCUUUAGAAUCCAAAGGCGUUCAUUUUUAGAGAGGAGCAGUGAAGGCUUUCGAUAUCAGCAGUGCUACCUGCUUCGUGAUCUGAACAAAUAACAGGGCGAAGGCUCAACUCUAACCCGGUGCCGUGAUGAAUUACUCAGUGCCUGCUGCGGGCCGGGGGCUGGAGAUCCCCUGCGAGGAAGUUUUUAGCUGGGAACUUUCUGUAAGCUUUCCAGGAAUGAGCCGGAGAGGGAACACUCAAGUUGGGGAUUGCUGAUAAUUCACCAGUCACACAGCUGCUCCAUUCCCACAUAAAUUUAGUCCUUGGCUGGUCACACUGACACAUUUCCCUGAAGGUGGCCAGAGGGCUCAUGAAGCCAGCCGGUUAUGAAACACCGAGAAGUAUAAAAGCCUGCUAGCCCUCUGGGCCGUUUUUCCCCUGACAGAGAUGGAGGCUGUGAGCAGGCUUGUCCCCUUGGCCCUUUUCAUCGUGCCGUGUUUGGCAGAGUUCAACUGGACCCGGUCUGAAGUUAAGUAUUAAGCUACACAGCCGUAUGGGGAUCCGAGGCAGGAGGUGAAGACCCACAAAGCCCUGGUCCUGAAACUCAAUGCCACGAGGACUGUACCUGGACACUUGAAAGACCAGAACAUGAAAGCAUCAGACUCACCUUUCCUGCUUCAAGUAGAGACUUUGGUCUUCUAAAAAGGAUGGCUGAAGGCUCUGGCCAUACUGACAAAUCUCUGUGGAAAGAUGUCAGCUGCGCCCAGAAGUUGUGGUAGGAAAACCCACAACCCAGCUGACGAUGGGAAUGGCUGACAGCCCCUGACCGGACUGUGCUCCCCGACUGGCUCACAUGGAGGCUGAGAACUUGUCUCAGGUCACAUAACCUCAGUGCUUCACACCGGAAACACACGAGAGAAGGCCUCUGGCAAGAACCUGUAUCUGCUCAGGAAAGGAGGGGACUGUACACUUUCUGGGUUUACUGAGAGCAAACAGGAUGACUUCUCUCAAUUUACCUCAAACGCUAAGUCUAAAGUAAUAAUCCCAACAAGGAACAGGCCGGUUCUGAUGUU